UUUAUUUUAGUAUAAAAGUACAAAAGUUUUUGAAACUUUUAGUAAAAGUUUAAAUCUUUUAAAUCAAG
rnacentral:tRNA from 1 species